rnacentral:snRNA from 1 species
UGAUUGGGGCAUCUGGCUGCGCCAUCUGUCACCCCAUUGAUUGCCAGGGUUGAUUUGGCUGAUCUGGCUAGCCAGGUGGGUAUACCCUUCCUCCCUCACUGCUCCAUGAGGAAGCUGUGAGGGAGGAAGGGUAACUGCAUGCUUGGUUGAAGAGGACGACCAUCCCUGAUAGAGGAGGACUGGUCUUCGGUCAAGGGUACACGAGCAGCUGCACUCCCCUGCUAGAACCUCCAAACAGCUCUCAAGGGCAACAAAAUAUUUUUAAAUUAAGUCAUGUACAUUGUUUUUUAGAUAUAAUGCUACUGCAUGUUU